UGUAACAUUGAUAUGCCCCAAAUAGUUCAGACCUAAAUCCAUUCCAGCUAAUAACGAGUAUUUGAGCGUACGAUCACCACCCUCCCGUCGCCAUCGUUGCACCAUCACGAUACCAUUAUCUAGUUCGUUGCCACCGUCUUCCAGUUCGUCCGCACCGCACAAUCACGCCGCCGCACAAUCACACUCCCGCACUACAGGUCGUCAUCUCCCUACACCAUCAUCGGUGCUGUAUUUUUGAACUAUUAUCAACAUCUCUUCCCCAAACAUGUAUUUCAUGUCUAUUUUAGCUUCAAUCCUCCUAGUCCAACUCUUAUACACUGAGAUGGGUAGGCAUAAGAGGUUAUUCAUCACCUCAACUGAUAUCCCUAUUGAUAGUGAGAUUAAUGAUCAAAGUUAUGAGCUUUCUGUAACUGAAGGAGAUCAAUCAGGUUGAUCCCCGGUCUUUUGGCUUUAGUGCUAUUGCUCCUUUAAGGAUUGGAGAAAAAAAAAGGUAUAUAGAUUGUUAUAACUUUAUGUGCAAAUUGAAUCUUGCAGCUGGAACAAAUUAUGGUGAAAUAAGUGUUUGGGAUGUCGGAACUCGAGAAAGGAUCGUGUAUAAACCCUUCAAAGUUUGGGAUUUAUCUUCUAGCUCAAUGUCUUUUCGGGUAAUGUUCCUUUAUCAUUGGCUUCUUUCCAUAUUCAUACACUUGUAGGGUGUUUAGUUUGUGCUCAUAGAUUCAUAUCUAUUAUAUAUUGUAUCAUUUUUAAUAUUUUGAAUAUUUAUCUGAUAUGAAUCAUGAUUAACUUUGUGUCUAAACAAUCUUGGAAGAUAAUGCAUGAGGUUGUGUUAAUCGGUGCACAUGGGACCAGAUGGAUCAAUACUUGGUAUAACUAAAAGUCAUAUUUUUUUGCAUCUGUAAGUAGAUUGUUUUUCCAAUAUGGACCUCAACAUUGGUUUUAUGUUUCUCUAGUGUAUUUGAUGCAGUUAUCAUUUUCCAGCUUAUCUCUAUGUUGCAUUCGUCUUCAGUUUGUUCUUAUCGACAUAGUUAAUUUGUGCUUAAUUAUUAUUUAUUUUCUAAAUUAUGCCUUAUUUAACUGUAUUUUGAAUCAUAAUUGUUUGUUUUUGGACAGGAAAUUGCUAGUAUUAAUUCAAGAGUACAAGAUAACAAGAUUUAUUCAACUUAGCAUGAAGUUUGGGAAAGAAGUUCAUAUGCAAUUAUGGGGGUGUUUGGCUUAGCUUUUUAAGGGCCAAAAGUCAUUUUUGGAAAAGUUGCAAAAAUGGCACUUUUUGCGUGCCACUAAAUGACAUAUUUUUUGUAGUGAGGAUUUUCGGAGCAGCAGCAGACAGAGAUUUACUACGUAGAUUAUCAACAACUACUCGUUCAAGUAGCAGUAGGGGGUGGAGUAGUCCCCGAGGGUCGGUUAGGAUCGACGGGUAGGUCAGCACCCCAAAAUGGCUUGACAGGGUUGGUCAUCACCCCAUAAUGGCUUGACAUGGGUAGGUCGGCACCCCAGAAUGGCCUACCGGGUAGGUCGGACACCCCAAAAUUGCCCGACAAUAUGUACCUCUUCAGCGAAGGGGAAGGAGCUGGCGCGGUAGCAACACAUCAUACACACACGCGUUGAUUUUCCGCACUUGAGAUAUUUUGGGAUUGUACUCUGACAUGUUGCUAUUUUAUGAUUCGGGUUUUCAGACAUGAUAUAUUGAUCUACGAAAUGAUAUAAUUUUACGUAGUUUAUUUAUGAAUGUUUCUAUAAUCAGUUAAUUAAAAAUGAAAUUUUUGGACCCAAAA